rnacentral:miRNA from 1 species
UUUGCAAAGUAUAUCCAAGUCGA